rnacentral:rRNA from 1 species
AGUCGAACGGCAGCACAGAGGAGCUUGCUCCUUGGGUGGCGAGUGGCGGACGGGUGAGGAAUACAUCGGAAUCUACUCUGUCGUGGGGGAUAACGUAGGGAAACUUACGCUAAUACCGCAUACGACCUAAGGGUGAGAGCAGGGGAUCUUCGGACCUUGCGCGAUUGAAUGAGCCGAUGUCGGAUUAGCUAGUUGGCGGGGUAAAGGCCCACCAAGGCGACGAUCCGGAUCUGGAUCUGAGAGGAUGAUCAGGCACACUGGAACUGAGACACGGUCCAGACUCCUACGGGAGGCAGCGGUGGGGAAUAUUGGACAAUGGGCGCGAGCCUGAUCCAGCCAUACCGCGUGGGUGAAGAAGGCCUUCGGGUUGUAAAGCCCUUUUGUUGGGAAAGAAAUCCAGCCGGCUAAUACCUGGUUGGGAUGACGGUACCCAAAGAAUAAGCACCGGCUAACUUCGUGCCAGCAGCCGCGGUAAUACGAAGGGUGCAAGCGUUACUCGCAAUUACUGGGCGUAAAGCGUGCGUAGGUGGUUAUUUAAGUCCGUUGUGAAAACCCUGGGCUCAACCUGGGAACUGCACUGGAUACUGGAUGACUAGAAUGUGGUAGAGGGUAGCGGAAUUCCUGGUGUAGCAGUGAAAUGCGUAGAGAUCACGAGGAACAUCCAUGGCGAACGCAGCUACCUGGACCAACAUUGACACUGAGGCACGAAAGCGUGGGGAGCAAACAAGAUUAGAUACCCUGGUAGUCCACGCCCUAAACGAUGCGAACUGGAUGCUGCGUGCCAUUUGGCACGCAGUAUCGACUCUAACGCGUUAAGCUCGCCGCCUCGGGAGUACGGUCGCACGACUGAAACUCAAAGGAAUUGACGGGGGCCCGCGCAAGCAGUGGAGUAUGUGGAUUAAUUCGAUGAAACGCUAACAACCUUACGUGGGCUUGACAUGUCGAGAACUUUUCAGAAGAUGGAUUGGGGCCUUCGGAAACNCCAACACGGGUGCUUCUUGGCUGUCCCCGCCUCGUGUCGUGGGAUGUUGGGUU